rnacentral:pre_miRNA from 1 species
AGUGGAAUUGCUGGGCCAUGUGCUAACUUUAUAUUUAACACUUUGGAGGAACUGUCAAACUAUUUUCCAAAGUGGCUGCAACAUUGUACUUGUCACCAGCAAU